GGCCAACCUGUAGACGCACCUGUGUCUAAUUUUCAAGAGCUGCGGAGGUGCUUCAUAAGGACAGCCUAGCUGACACUCCAGUGCCUGAGUGUUUGCCUUCACUGAUUUCCUUGUGAUCGCCCUGUGACUCCUGGAUGUGGACAAGCGCUCCCCCCUGGAUUUCCUUGUGUUCCUCACGACGCCAUUGGUAUUACCAAUCGGUUGCCUUCCUCCGUGCACUUACCUCCCUGGUCCCUCCCCGUGGAUCCUCUGUGCCUCGCCACCGACUGAGCCUGCCAGCGUUUCAUGUUCCGGGAGCUAACUGUCGAGGCCCCGCUCGGAAGUCAGCCCACUCUGCUCUCCAGCUGCAAGGCUUACCUGCUCGCUCUCCGACGGUAACUCACUUCUCCAGCCGCCACCAUUGACAAUACUAACCUCCGCAUUCAAUCUGAUGACCAGUUUCCUCCAGUCCCAGGUUCCAGAACUAUUUCCCCUGACCCCUCUUCCUUUCACCAAAAUAAAUAUUAUUGUUGUUUCA